UCCAAAAGAAGAAGUAACAGGAAUGCGGGUUUCUCCUGCAAUCCAAAAGUAGAGAUUUCCUAUGAAAACUUUCCUAAGCCAAAAUGGUGUAAAGUGAGGAAGCGAUGACCAUUAAUUGAUAUGGAAACAUUUUUGAACAUCCCCAGACCCAAAAAAUAACUCCUUCUAGGUUUUCCUUAGGACACAUCAUGCUAACUGUAGUGAGUACGAACCUUUAAUAAAUAAAGUGUAAUAAAUAAAUGAAUAAAUAAAUAAAUAAUAUGUAGUAAGUGCAAAUCCCUACUAAAUGAAAAACAGGAACAAAUUGCAAACUAACCACAUAGCAAGUAAGCCUAGACCAUAUGCGUGUGGUGAUAACAAACUAACCACAUAGCAAAUACCACAUAGCAAGUAAGCCUAGACCAAAUGCGUGUAGUGAUAAGAUUAGCGCGGAGUAACAAGUUGUAAAUAUUUUAACUCCUGCGAAAUAUCGUAGACCAAAACAUGUUUACGACGUGUGUAUGUUUUUGGUGUGUAAGCAUAAGAAAAAUAAGUGAUGUAAUGUGUUUAUGAAGGAGACUUAGCACAGUAUAUAGAGGCAUCGGGUUGGACUGAAGUGAAGCGAGUUCCCUGUCGGGAGAAUGUCAUCGCGGGUGCUACCGUGCUACCGACAUCCCAACAGUUUCAUUGCCAACCACUCGCUGGUUCUCAGUCUCAACUUCUGCGGUGACCUCUCUAUCUAGAUUGUGAGGCGACGUCUCCUUCUCCAUGACAACAUCAGCGGACCGUGACCGGGCCACGAUAGUGGUGCGGACCUCCUCCCAAUAAAGAUCAAGUACUUACAACACAGUGUGUCAAAGUAUGUUGUAUCCAGAUGUUCAGCCUGAGGAAAGAUAUCCCUGUUGGAACACAACCUAGAUCCUGGCCAAUGUGACUGGUGUCCUGUGAAAUCUUGUGAGAAAAUACCAGGAGAUGGAGGGCAAGAAUCUUCCUGGGCCAACGCCUGCAUUAAACGUGGGAGGAUCCGUGGGGUGUUUUCCUGUCCUCUAGAUAGAUCUGAUAAUUAUGCAGAAUCCUUAACUCGCUCUUGUCAUUUAAAGCUAAGAGAUACUGUCAUUUAAAGCUAAGAGAUAAUUGUUGUUCACUUGUCUCACUUGAUUGCCUGCAUGUAAAUCACAUUUCACAUGUAGCCUACCCCCUGCACAUAAAUCUAUAUCCUGUUUAUAAUUGGAUCUUGUGGAAGGUAUAAAAGAAGAGACUGUAAGAAAUAAAGAUGCCUACUGAUCAUCAGUCAGUAGUCCCCCCAUCAUUUUGGCCCAGAUCAUCAGGAUCCCCACCUCACAAAGGUGACAAUCCCCAAAAGAUUAGAUUGCUCUAUCCUAUCUCUCCCAUGAUAAAUUACACAUGCUCUGCCUAUGUUUCCUGACAUUCGACAUUCAAAAGCAAAAAUUCAAAAUUAAUUUGACUAUAGAUACUAUCUCAAUCUUUGCAUGACAUCAUUAGCAUGUUUAUAGUAAGAAAUUAUAGCAGUGUACAAAAGGUGACUAUUAUUCAUUUAAGUUGCAAAUUAGGUCAUUGAUUUCCUUUUUCUUUUCUUGAAUGUCCUCUAUAUUCUGUUUCCCCUUUCUGUUAGUAAUACUAAGCUGGGUACAGGGUCACAUAACUGGGUCCCAAGCCUCUUGCAACUAAGUAUUGCCAUAUUUCAGUUCUCAAAAUGACAUAUGAGCAGAAUUGUACCCAGCUUCGGCCUAAGGGAAUGCUUUAACCCAAAGUUCCUCUAUCAUUCUCAUUUGUUUAGAUUGCAAUGUAGAAAAGACCAUAACCAAAUUUCAACCUACAAAGGAAGAUAAUUCCUGAGGACAGGAAUUCUUUUCCUUUCUGGGGCCAUAAACUCUCUUUGGUAGCUUAGUAGAACCCAUAGACUCCUACUUUGAAAAGUGUUUGGGAAUGCUUAAAAUAAAAUACAUAAGAUUACAAAGGAAAUUAAUUCAGUAUGAAAGUUCUGAAAAUAUUUUAAAAACUAGUUAUGACCUAGUAAUAUGUGUUUCCUUAUUAGGAAAUAAGAUCUAGUAGCAGAUCCAAUAAAAACUGAUUUUUUUUUGAACCGAUGGACUGAAAUGAUAUUUCAAGAUCAUCUGCACUAACUCUGAUAAUCUGAAAAUACCUGCGAUAUAUAUGAUGACAAAUAUAUUAUUAAUACUA